rnacentral:rRNA from 1 species
UACAGAGGUCCCAAGCGUUGUUCGGAUUUAUUGGGCUUAAAGGGUGCGUAGGCGGCCUGUUAAGUCAGUGGUGAAAUCCAACAGCUCAACUGUUGAUGUGCCAAUGAUACUGACAGGCUUGAGUACAGACGAGGUAGGCGGAAUUGACAGUGUAGCGGUGAAAUGCAUAGAUAUUGUCAAGAACACCGAUAGCGAAGGCAGCUUGCUAGCCUGUAACUGACGCUGAGGCGCGAAAGUGUGGGGAUCAAACAGG